UGUAUAACAGUGUAAACUUGCUGUCCCCUCGAAAUAACUCAACACACAGCCAUUAAUGUCUAAACCGUUGGCAACAAAAGUGAGUACACCCCUAAGUGGAAAUGUCCAAAUUGGGGCCAAUUAGCCAUUUUCCCUCCCCCGUGUCAUGUGACUCGUUAGUGUUACAAGGUCUCAGGUGUGAAUGGCGGACUGGUGUGUUAAAUUUGGUGUUAUCGCUCUCUCAUACUGGUCACUGGAAGUUCAACAUGGCACCUCGUGGCAAAGAACUCUCUGAGGAUCUGAAAAAAAGAAUUGUUGCUCUACAUAAAGAUGGCCUAAGCUAUCAGAUGAUUGCCAAGACCCUGAAACUGAACUUCAGCAUGGUGGGCAAGACCAUACAGCGGUUUCACAGGACAGGUUCCACUCAGAAUAGGCCUCGCCAUGGUCGACCAAAGAAGUUGAAUGCACAUGCUCAGCGUCAUAUCCAGAGGUUGUCUAUGGGAAAUAGACGUAUAAGUGCUGCCAGCAUAGCUGCAGAGGUUGAAGGGGUGGUGUAUUCUGGUUUUGUACUGCCUUAGGCAUGACAAAACUCAGGCACCUCCCCCCCUUCUAAAUAUCACUUACUGUUAAAAACCAACACACUCUUUGCCUAACAGACACACUGACAUACAGUGACAUACACUCACUGACAGAUACACAGUCAUUGUCACACACACUGUUUAACCAACACACACUUUGACUGAAACAUACAAACUCACUGACAGACACGCACACUCACAUUCACCGACAAACACAUUAACUGACAGAUACACAUACACACAUUUACUGACAAACGCACACUCACUCAGUGUCAGACACACACUGACAAACACACAUAACUGACGGACACAUAUACACACAGUGUCAGAGACACACAUUCGAUAACAGACCUACACAUUGACUGACAGUUACACACUCUCAGUGACAGACACGCAUACACACACUGACAGACAUACACAUUCACUAACAGACAUAAACACUCUCACUGACACACACUCUGACAGACACACACACACUAACACACACUCACU